CCCGUCGAUCCUAGGCCAGAAGACGCCAACGCUUGUCAUGGGCCGGCGCUCGAUCCGUAGAAGCUCUCGCGCGCUCCGUCGAUCCAUCCUCGCGCGCGCUCCUCGGUGCUCACACGCUCGCCAUCGAUCCGUCCUCGGUCCUCAGCGCUCGCGUCGUGGUCCCAGGACCAGAGGCCAGCGCGGAGGCUGGCGCGAAGGCCGGCGCAAAGGGAGGGGAGCAGCGAUAGAGGUGCCGCUCGCGGCACAGAGGCCAUCGGCGAGGCUGUUCGAUGAAAUGGACCCUACAAAAGAGUCACUUUCUUAGUUGAUGAGCAUACAUGUACAUCUAGCAGUAGGAUCAGGACUACUAUGGCUUCUAAGGCUUGUGUGGCUGAUAAGGCAUUAUAUCUCCUCAUGAAGACCCCAAUACAGGUGCUAAAGCAAUACAGAAACAGUUGCAGGA